rnacentral:misc_RNA from 1 species
CUCACAAUGAACUGAGACCCAGUUGUUCUAGGUCUGUAGAUGACAUAAAAGUGAUUUCUAGUCAUCAUGGCAUGGUAGGCAUUAGAAAGAAUCCCAGAACAUAUGCUUUCCCCAUGUUUAACAACAUCUGUCUCUUGACCCAUAGGCUUCCUUACUCCAAUCCGAAGCUCCCCAUUUUCUUCCCUUAAGAAUAUUAACACACUGCGUGUUGCUUUUGCUAGCUUUUUUGAACCAACAAACUCACCCCACCCAGUUGUGAGUGAGUAAGUGACGCUUAGGAUUACCCCUAUAAAUAUGUUGGAAAUGCCACUGUUUUCCAUGCAGAUCUUUUGCAACCAAUUGUUGACAAGGUGGCUCUUGCGACAUAUCC